UACGGAGGGUGCAAGCGUUACCCGGAAUCACUGGGCGUAAAGGGCGUGUAGGCGGGAUGUUAAGUCUGACUUUAAAGACUGUGGCUCAACCACAGGAGUGGGCUGGAUACUGGCAUUCUAGACAACUGGAGAGGCGAUUGGAAUUACUGGUGUAGCGGUGGAAUGCGUAGAUACCAGUAGGAACGUCAAUGGCGAAGGCAGGUCGCUGGACAGUUUGUGACGUGAGGCGCGAAAGUGUGGGGAGCAAACCGG
rnacentral:rRNA from 1 species